UACGUAGGUGGCGAGCGUUGUCCGGAUUUACUGGGUGUAAAGGGCGCGUAGGCGGAUCAGCAAGUCAGUCGUGAAAUACCGGGGCUCAACCCCGGGGCUGCGAUUGAAACUGUUGACCUUGAGUGUCGGAGAGGAAAGCGGAAUUCCUAGUGUAGCGGUGAAAUGCGUAGAUAUUAGGAGGAACACCAGUGGCGAAGGCGGCUUUCUGGACGAUAACUGACGCUGAGGCGCGAAAGUGUGGGGAGCAAACAGG
rnacentral:rRNA from 1 species